rnacentral:pre_miRNA from 1 species
GUGAGUGCCUCUUUGGCAGUGUCUUAGCUGGUUGUUGUGAGUAAUAGCGAAGGAAGCAAUCAGCAAGUAUACUGCCCUAGAAGUGCUGCAC